UACAGAGGGUGCGAGCGUUUGUUCGGAAUUAUUGGGCGUAAAGGGCGCGUAGGCGGUGCGGUAAGUCACCUGUGAAAUCUCCUGGCUCAACUGGGAGUCUGCAGGCGAAACUGCCGUGCUGGAGUGUGGGAGAGGUGAGUGGAAUUCCCGGUGUAGCGGUGAAAAUGCGUAGAUAUCGGGAGGAACACCUGUGGCGAAAGCGGCUCACUGGACCACAACUGACGCUGAGGCGCGAAAGCUAGGGGAGCAAACAGGG
rnacentral:rRNA from 1 species